UGUGGCGUUGUGGUUAAGGCACCAGGCUAAUAACCUGGAGGUCACAGGUUCGAGCCCGG
rnacentral:tRNA from 1 species